UUGAAACACCAAUUCCCGUACAGUCACCAAAGUUAAGCAACGUCGAGCCUGGUCAGUACCUGGAUGGGUGUUCGUUUGGGUACAGCAGGUGAUGUAAG